CGCAGCCGCGGUAAUUCCAGCUCCAAUAGCGUAUAUUAAAGUUGUUGCAGUUAAAAAGCUCGUAGUUGAAUUUCGGGAUCAAGUCGUCGGUCGUGCCUCGGUACGCACUGGUGACAUUGGUUUCUCCCUUCUGAAGAACCUUGAUGUCAUUAAUUUGGUGUCUUGGGGAAUCAGGACUGUUACUUUGAAAAAAUUAGAGUGUUUAAAGCAGGCUCACGCUUGAAUACAUUAGCAUGGAAUAAUGAAAUAGGACGUUUGAUUCUAUUUUGUUGGUUUCUAGGAUCGACGUAAUGAUUAAUAGGGAUAGUUGGGGGCAUUAGUAUUCAAUUGUCAGAGGUGAAAUUCCUGGAUUUAUUGAAGGCUAACUACUGCGAAAGCAUUUGCCAGGAUGUUUUCAUUAAUCAAGAACGAAAGUUAGGGGAUCGAAGACGAUCAGAUACCGUCGUAGUCUUAACCAUAAACUAUGCCGACUAGGGAUCGGAUGAUGUUAAUUUUUUAAUGACUCAUUCGGCGCCUUACG
rnacentral:rRNA from 1 species